CCUACGGGAGGCUGCAGUGGGGAAUAUUGGGCAAUGGACGCAAGUCUGACCCAGCAACGCCGCGUGAAGGAAGAAGGCUUUCGGGUUGUAAACUUCUUUUAAGGGGGAAGGGCAGAAGACGGUACACCAUGAAUAAGCCACGGCUAACUAGGUGCCAGAAGCCGGGGUAAUACGGAGGUGGCAAGCGCUGUCCGGAUUUACGGGGGGUAAAGGGCGGGCAGCCGGGAAGACAAGUCAGAUGUGAAAUCCCGGGGCUCAACCGCGGAACUGCAUUUGAAACUGGUUUUCUUGAGUAUCGGAGAGGUAAUCGGAAUUCCUAGUGUAGCGGUGAAAUGCGUAGAUAUUAGGAAGAACACCAGUGGCGAAGGCGGAUUACUGGACGACAACUGACGGUGAGGCGCGAAAGCGUGGGGAGCAAACAGGAUUAGAUACCCGGGUAGUC
rnacentral:rRNA from 1 species